AGUGAACGCUGGCGGUAGGCCUAACACAUGCAAGUCGAACGGCCGCACAGUAAGAGCUUGCUCUUACGGGUGGCGAGUGGCGGACGGGUGAGGCAUACAUCGGAAUCUACUUUUUCGUGGGGGAUAACGUAGGAAAACUUACGCUAAUACCGCAUACGACCUACGGGUGAAAUCAGGGGAUCUUCGGACCUUGCGCGAUUGAAUGAGCCGAUGUCGGAUUAGCUAGUUGGCGGGGUAAAGGCCCACCAAGGCGACGAUCCGUAGCUGGUCUGAGAGGAUGAUCGGCCACACUGGAACUGAGACACGGUCCAGACUCCUACGGGAGGCAGCAGUGGGGAAUAUUGGACAAUGGGCGCAAGCCUGAUCCAGCCAUACCGCGUGAGUGAAGAAGGCCUUCGGGUUGUAAAGCCCUGUUGUUGGGAAAGAAAAGCAGCAGGUGAAUACCCCGCUGUUCUGACGGUACCCAAAGAAUAAGCACCGGCUAACUUCGUG
rnacentral:rRNA from 1 species